rnacentral:rRNA from 1 species
UUGAGUGGCGAACGGGUGAGGAACGCGUGGACAACCUACCCCGGCGUGGGGGAUACCCGCCAGAAAUGGCGGCUAAUACCGCGUACGGUUCCGGGGCGACGGGCUUCGGAAAGAAAGCAGCGAUGCGCGCUGGGAGGGGUCUGCGGCCGAUUAGCUUGUUGGCGGGGUAACGGCCCACCAAGGCGAUGAUCGGUAGCUGGUCUGAGAGGAUGAUCAGCCACACGGGGACUGAGACACGGCCCCG